rnacentral:rRNA from 1 species
UGAACGCUGGCGGCGUGGCUAAGACAUGCAAGUCGUACGGGACCCGCAAGGGUUCAGUGGCGAACGGGUGAGUAAUGUAUCGCUAACGUGCCCCGGACUCUGGGAUAGCCGCCCGAAAGGGCGGGUAAUACCAGAUGAUAUCCCUCCGUCGCAUGGCGGAGAUCUCAAAGGGAAACCGGUCUGGGAGCGGGCGAUAUCGUAUCACCUAUUUGGUAGGGUAACGGCCUACCAAGGCGACCACACGUAUCCAGACUGAGAGGUUGGCCGGCCACAUUGGGACUGAGACACUGCCCAGACUCCUACGGAGGGCUGCAGUAACGAAUCUUCCGCAAUGCACGCCAGUGUGACAGACCGACACCCCGUGUGGGACGAAGCCCUUCGGGGUGUAAACCACUGUCAGGGGAAAGAAAGUUCUGAUCUACCCCAGAGGAAGGCGCGGCUAACUCUGUGCCAGCAGCCGCGGUAAGACAGAGGUGCCCAGCGUUAGGCGGAAUCACUGGGCUUAAAGCGUGUGUAGGCGGACUUCUAAGUACCUUGUGAAAUCCCACGGCUUAACCGUGGAACGGCUGGGUAUACUGGUCGUCUUGAGCCAUCUAGGGGCUACCGGUACAAAUGGUGGAGCGGUGAAAUGCGUAGAUAUCAUUUGGAACGCCAAUGGUGAAAACAGGUAGCUGGGGAUGUGCUGACGAUGAGACACGGAAGCCAGGGGAGCGAACGGGAUUAGAUACCCCGGUAGUCCUGGCCCUAUACGAUGUCGACUAGAUCCUGGUCCCUAAGACGGGUUCACGGUCGAAGCAAAAGUGCUAAGUCGACCGCCUGGGAAGUACGGUCACAAGGCUAAUACUCGAAGGAAUUGACGGGGGCUCACACAAGCGGUGGAGCAUGUGGUUCAAUUCGAAGCAACGCGCAGAACCUUACCUGGGUUUGACAUGCCAGGAUUAUCCCUGUGAAAGCAGGGUAGGCCAUUCGGGGUACAACUGGUACAGGUGCUGCAUGGCUGUCGUCAGCUCGAGUCGUGAGAUGUCGGGUUAAGUCCCUCAACGAGCAGUAACCUUUGCCCUUAGUUACCAGCGGGUUAUUCCGGGGACUCUAAGGGGACUGCCGGUGUCAAACCGGAGGAAGGUGGAGAUGACGUCAAGUCCUCAUGGCCUUUAUGCCCAGGGCUACACACGUGUUGCAACGGGCUGCACAAAGCGAACCGAGAGGGCAAGCUGGUGGAAAUCGCACAAAUCACCCCCCAGUUCAGAUCGGAGGCUGCAACUCGCCUCCGUGAAGUUGGAAUCGCUAGUAAUCGCGGAUCAGCUACGCCGCGGUGAAUGCGUUCUUGAGCCUUGUACACACCGCCCGUCAAGUCAUGGGAGCCGGAAAUAGCCGAA